CACAUAACUAUCAUGGCAAGUAAUGUUUUGUACAGUAAAUGUACAAUGAAAUGAAACCUCAGUGUAAAUCUAAAUGAAGCUGUCAUCUGCCUCUUUGAUGCUAACUAAUGAUGGGCCGAGCAACUUGCCAUAACCCUCCCAAAUGUCAGUCCCCAAGCUUUGGGUUUCACCCCCGUAUGGUCUCCUCAUUCACUGUGUCACAUUCAUUUCUGCUGGGACGCUAACAGGUGAGCAGAAGCUUCCUCUCUUAAGAGCCCCAGGCAGACCUGCCUCGCCCAGAGUCAGACCAGAGCGAGCCCACGGCCAGAUGCACACAGAGUGGAAGCAAGAGGAGGGGUGAUCCUGGGCUGGAAAUAUGAGUUGAGACAGGGAAAGCUAAAAUGAGAAAAAAAAAAGAAGAGUGGCUUGAAAGCAUACAUGCAAAAGUGUACAUUAGGAACAAAUUAGAUCAAACCACAGAAAUGACAUAUGGACAAAGUGAUAUUGCAAAAACACUUGCAAGACUGAAAUAAAGAUUAAUAUGAGAAAUCUUUCCAGUUGCAGCCAUAAUUGCAACCAAAGUACAUAUGUGGGUGCAGUUGUGUCUGUUUUUGUGUAUAUGUGUAUGAAUUACUGUAUCAAUAUUCCCAUUGUGGCUCAUAUUUAAAGGACUUUUCAAUGACUUUCCAUAGUGCAAGUCCCUGAUUAAGAAUUUUGCUGUUUGGUUUUCUAAAGAAAUGCCCCCAGUUGGUCUGUAAAUCUCCAGCGAAUGUAGUGAAUGUGUGAAGCAAAUUGUUAAAUACUCUCUUCAGUAUUCCUGACCUGUUUUUUAAAUUUCUGUCUCCAUGAAUUUUCCUGUCUGGAACACACUCAAAAUUCCAGAAAUUACACAACUAGAGGAAACCAUAUUUUCACACAGCCCAUUUGUGCAUCUGUGAAUUGUGUUUAUGUCUGUCUGCACAGCAUACAUGUAUGUAAUAAUAACGUAUUUUAUGAAAACACCCUGCACACACACACACACACACACGCCCUGGACCUCCUUACUGUCGGUUGAUUAUAAUGAUGUUGAUCCUGGAAUUGAAG